CCUACGGGAGGCAGCAGUGGGGAAUAUUGCGCAAUGGGCGAAAGCCUGACGCAGCGACGCCGCGUGAGGGAUGAAGGUCUUCGGAUCGUAAACCUCUGUCAGCAGAGAAGAACGGUCACUGUGCUAAUCAGCAGUGAAUUGACGGUACCUGCAAAGGAAGCACCGGCGAACUCCGUGCCAGCAGCCGCGGUAAUACGGAGGGUGCGAGCGUUAAUCGGAAUUACUGGGCGUAAAGCGCUCGUAGGCGGUAUGUCAAGUCAAGGGUGAAAUCCCCGCGCUCAACGUGGGAACUGCAGUGGAAACUGGCAAACUGGAGUGUGGGAGAGGAGAGUGGAAUUCCAGGUGUAGGAGUGAAAGCCGUAGAUAUCUGGAGGAAAAGCAGUGGCGAAGGCGACUAUCUGGCACAUAACUGACGCUGAGGAGCGAAAGCGUGGGUAGCAAACAGGAUUAGAUACCCGGGUAGUC
rnacentral:rRNA from 1 species